rnacentral:rRNA from 1 species
GACGAACGCUGGCGGCGUGCUUAACACAUGCAAGUCGAACGCUGAAGCUCAGCUUGCUGGGUGGAUGAGUGGCGAACGGGUGAGUAACACGUGAGUAACCUGCCCUCUUCUUUGGGAUAACGCCCGAAAACGGGUGCUAAUACUGGAUAUUCACUGAUUCUCGCAUGGGGGUUGGUGGAAAGGUUUUUUCUGGUGGGGGAUGGGCUCGCGUCCUAUCAGCUUGUUGGUGGGGUGAUGGCCUCACAGGGCUUUAACGGGAAGCCGGCCGGCGAGGCUGACCGGUCACAUUGGGACUGAGAUACGGCCCAGACUCCUACGGGAGGCAGCAGUGGUGAAUAUUGCACAAUGGGCGAAAGCCUGAUGCAGCGACGCCGCGUGAGGGAUGGAGGCCUUCGGGUUGUAAACCUCUUUCGCUCAUGGUCAAGCCGCAGCUUUGGGUUGUGGUGAGGGUAGUGGGUAAAGAAGCGCCGGCUAACUACGUG